AUAACCUUUGAUCCGGAGAUUUCCGAAUGGGACAACCUAGCCGUCUGAAGGACGGUUACUCAAUCUUCAAGAUUGAGAGCUAACGCAGGGAACUGAAACAUCUUAGUACCUGCAGGAAGAGAAAAUAAAUAAUGAUUCCCCCAGUAGUGGCGAGCGAACGGGGAACAGCCCAAACCAGUGGCGUCGCAAGGCGUGGCUGGGGUUGUAGGACCGCGACAUUGUAUUGAAAUGGUGAGUGGAAGUAUCUGGAAAGUUACAUCACAGAAGGUGAUAAUCCUGUACACGAAGCCAAAUCAAGCAUAGCGGUAUCCUGAGUAACGCGGGACACGAGGAAUCCUGCGCGAAUCUGCCGGGACCAUCCGGUAAGGCUAAAUACUCCCGUGAGACCGAUAGCGAACGAGUACUGUGAAGGAAAGGUGAAAAGAACCCCGAGCAGGGGAGUGAAAUAGUUCCUGAAACCAUGCGCCUACAAGCGGUCGGAGCACAGCAAUGUGUGACGGCGUGCCUUUUGCAUAAUGAUCCUACGAGUUACCGUCACUGGCGAGGUUGAGUGUCAUGAGACACGUAGCCGCAGUGAAAGCGAGCCUGAAUAGGGCGCACAGUCAGUGGGGGUAGACGCGAAACCAAGUGAUCUACACUUGGCCAGGAUGAAGUCCCGGUAACACGGGAUGGAGGUCCGCACCAAUAAGCGUUGAAAAGCUUCUGGAUGAGCCGAGUGUAGGAGUGAAAGGCCAAUCAAACUUGGAGAUAGCUCGUACUCCCCGAAAGGCAUUUAGGUGCCGCGUCGGAUGGUCACCGUGAGAGGUAGAGCGACCGAUAGGACAAGAGGGCUUCACCGCCUAUCGAGUCCUGACGAACUCCGAAUGCUCACGGUUUGCAGUCCGGCAGUAAGGGGGCGGGUGCUAAGGUCCGUCCCCGAGAGGAGAAGAAUCCAGACCGCCGUCUAAGGUCCCGGAGUUCUGCCUGAGUUAGUCUAACGAAGUCUGGUCCCUAUGACAGCUAGGAUGUUGGCUUGGAAGCAGCCAUUCAUUCAAAGAGUGCGUAACAGCUCACUAGUCGAGGGUCCGGGCAUGGAUAAUAAUCGGGUAUAAGGCAGACACCGAAGGCGCGGGAUAGCAAUUAUAAAAGUAUCGGUAGGGGAGCAUACUCACAGCGUCGAAUGGUGUACGUAAGUUAUCCUGGAGCGGUGAGUAAAGCAAAUGUAGGAAUAAGUAACGAUAAGGAGGGUUAGAUUCCCUCCCGCUGUAAGACCAAGGUUUCCCGGGCAAUGCCAAUCAGCCCGGGGUCAGUCGGGUCCUAAGUCUAAGCCGAACGGCGAUGGCGAUGGCAGAG
rnacentral:rRNA from 1 species